rnacentral:rRNA from 1 species
GAUGAACGCUAGCGGCAGGCUUAACACAUGCAAGUCGAGGGGCAGCGCGGGAUAGCAAUAUCCUGGCGGCGACCGGCGGAAGGGUGCGUAACGCGUGAGCGACAUGCCCGUUGCCCGGGGACAACCGGUGGAAACGCCGACUAAUCCCCGAUGGGAUAUUGUGCCGCAUGGCACGAUAUUGAAAGUUACGGCGGCGACGGAUUGGCUCGCGUCCGAUUAGCUUGUUGGCGGGGUAACGGCCCACCAAGGCUGCGAUCGGUAGGGGUUCUGAGAGGAAGGCCCCCCACAAGGGGACUGAGACACGGCCCAUACUCCUACGGGAGGCAGCAGUGAGGAAUAUUGGUCAAUGGGCGGAAGCCUGAACCAGCCAUGCCGCGUGCGGGAAGGAGGCCCUAUGGGCUGUGAACCGCUUUUGCCUGGGGGCAAUAAGGGCGUCGCGCACGUCCGAUGAGAGUACCAGGCGAAUAAGCAUCGGCUAACUCCGUG